UACGGGGGGGGCAAGCGUUGUUCGGAAUUACUGGGCGUAAAGGGCUCGUAGGCGGCCAACUAAGUCGGACGUGAAAUCCCCAGGCUCAACCUGGGAACUGCGUCCGAUACUGGAUGGCUUGAAUUCGGGAGAGGGAUGCAGAAUUCCAGGUGUAGCGGUGAAAUGCGUAGAUAUCUGGAGGAACACCGGUGGCGAAGGCGGCAUCCUGGACCGAUAUUGACGCUGAUGCGCGAAAGCCAGGGGAGCAAACGGG
rnacentral:rRNA from 1 species